GUGGUGGCUCACUGGUAGAGUGCUCGCCUAGCAUGCAUGAGCUCUGGGUUCGAUCCUCAGCACCACA
rnacentral:tRNA from 1 species